UACGAAGGGGGCUAGCGUUGCUCGGAAUCACUGGGCGUAAAGCGCACGUAGGCGGCUUUUUAAGUCAGGGGUGAAAUCCUGGAGCUCAACUCCAGAACUGCCUUUGAUACUGAAGAUCUUGAGUUCGGGAGAGGUGAGUGGAACUGCGAGUGUAGAGGUGAAAUUCGUAGAUAUUCGCAAGAACACCAGUGGCGAAGGCGGCUCACUGGCCCGGUACUGACGCUGAGGCACGAAAGCGUGGGGAGCAAACAGGG
rnacentral:rRNA from 1 species